rnacentral:rRNA from 1 species
CCUACGGGGGGCAGCAGUAGGGAAUUUUCGUCAAUGGGCGCAAGCCUGAACGAGCGAUGCCGCGUGAGUGAAGAAGGCCUUCGGGUCGUAAAGCUCUGUUGCGGGGGAAAAAAGGCAGCAUCAGGAAAUGGUGGCGGACUGAUGGUGCCCCGCCAGACAGUCACGGCUAACUACGUGCCAGCAGCCGCGGUAAUACGUAGGUGGCGAGCGUUAUCCGGAAUGCUUGGGCGUACAGGGUGCGCAGGCGGUCCUGCAAGUCUGGACUGAAACGCAUGAGCUCACCUCAUGCAUGGCUUUGGAAACUGGGGGCGUGGGCAGCAGGAGAGGGUGGUGGAACUCCAUGUGUAGCGGUAAAAUGCGUAGAUAUAUGGAAGAACACCAGUGGCGCAGGCGGCCGCCUGGCCUGUUGCUGACGCUGGGGCACGAAUGCGUGGGGAGCAAAUAGGAUUAGAUACCCGGGUAGUC